rnacentral:lncRNA from 12 species
CUUCAACUCCGAGUGCCAACAUGAAAACACGCAAAAGCCUGUUUUCCAACUUGUAGAUCAGAAAACAGGCCUGAUACUGGGAGACAUGUUUUCAUAUCAAGUACGCAGCAUUCUGACAAAGCUCCUCCGUCCCCACCUUUCUCAGUUAAAGGGCAGAAAUUCACCUGGACGCUGGGUGUUUUUGUAAUAGAUCUCCAGGAAUGCACGUUUUAAAUAUCUCAAUGACGGCCCAAGAUUCUCAAUUUUCAUGUGACAGUGGCAACAGGUCUGAUGGAAAGCAGCAGAUAGCCUUGUGAUGUGUCAAAGUGGCACCAGUGUCCAAUGAAACUGAUUCCUGCUGGAAGAUGUCACUUAAUAUGGCAUUAUCUAGACUACCCACGUAAACCCAGUUGACUUGCCAUCUGUUCCACAGUGAAACUGGCACAGUCUCUAAGAGGAAACAUACUGCCAUCCUAUAUAAUGGCCAUUGGGAUGGAAAGCCAAUUGACCAUGAUAAGUUCUGUUGAUUAAUUGUUGAUGUUGAAAUAAAGAUUGUAAGCCAAAAAAAAUGUAUAAGACU